rnacentral:rRNA from 1 species
GACGAACGCUGGCGGCGUGCUUAACACAUGCAAGUCGAACGGAAAGGCCCUGCUUUUGUGGGGUGCUCGAGUGGCGAACGGGUGAGUAACACGUGAGUAACCUGCCCUUGACUUUGGGAUAACUUCAGGAAACUGGGGCUAAUACCGGAUAGGAGCUCCUGCUGCAUGGUGGGGGUUGGAAAGUUUCGGCGGUUGGGGAUGGACUCCCGGCUUAUCAGCUUGUUGGUGGGGUAGUGGCUUACCAAGGCUUUGACGGGUAGCCGGCCUGAGAGGGUGACCGGCCACAUUGGGACUGAGAUACGGCCCAGACUCCUACGGGAGGCAGCAGUGGGGAAUAUUCAACAUUGGGCGGAAGCCUGAUGCAGCAACGCCGCUUGCGGGAGGACGGCCUUCGGUUUGUAAACCGCUUUGGCCUGGGACGAAGCGUGAGUGACGGUAAUGGGUAAAGAAGCACCGGCUAACUACGUG